CUUAAGAGGGCGUUCAGCAGCCAGCUUGCGGCAAAACUGCGUAACCGUCUUCUCGUUCUCUAAAAACCAUUUUUCGUCCCCUUCGGGGCGGUGGUCUAUAGUGUUAUUAAUAUCAAGUUGGGGGAGCACAUUGUAGCAUUGUGCCAAUUCAUCCAUUAACUUCUCAGUAACAGAUACAAACUCAUCACGAACGUCAGAAGCAGCCUUAUGGCCGUCAACAUACAUAUCACCAUUAUCGAACUCAACGCCCUGCAUACGAAAAGACAGAAUCUCUUCCAAGAGCUUGAUGCGGUUAUCCAUCUGCUUAUGGAAGCCAAGCAUUGGGGAUUGAGAAAGAGUAGAAAUGCCACAAGCC
rnacentral:rRNA from 1 species